AAAGUCGUAACAAGGUUUCCGUAGGUGAACCUGCGGAAGGAUCAUUAUUGAAGAAAACUUUUCUCAAGUUUUUUCAUAUUCCCUGUUUAUAUUAAAUACGUUCCUUCCAUCGGACAGGUCUUUAAGACCCUCUAGCUUGUGCAAAUGCUCUUGCUGGGGAGUUGCCGGUGGCGUUUCUAAAAACAAAAAACUUUUGUUAUUAUGAACUGUCUGAAUAUACCUUUAAACUAAAUAAAACUUUCAACAACGGAUCUCUAGGCUCUU
rnacentral:misc_RNA from 1 species